AUUGAACGCUGGCGACAUGCCUUACACAUGCAAGUCGAACGGCAGCACGGGUGCUUGCACCUGGUGGCGAGUGGCGAACGGGUGAGUAAUACAUCGGAACAUGUCCUGUAGUGGGGGAUAGCCCGGCGAAAGCCGGAUUAAUACCGCAUACGAUCUACGGAUGAAAGCGGGGGACCUUCGGGCCUCGCGCUAUCGGGUUGGCCGAUGGCUGAUUAGCUAGUUGGUGGGGUAAAGGCCUACCAAGGCGACGAUCAGUAGCUGGUCUGAGAGGACGACCAGCCACACUGGGACUGAGACACGGUCCAGACUCCUACGGGAGGCAGCAGUGGGGAAUUUUGGACAAUGGGCGAAAGCCUGAUCCAGCAAUGCCGCGUGUGUGAAGAAGGCCUUCGGGUUGUAAAGCACUUUUGUCCGGAAAGAAAUCCUUGGCCCUAAUACGGUCGGGGGAUGACGGUACCGGAAGAAUAAGCACCGGCUAACUACGUG
rnacentral:rRNA from 1 species